AACUUGCGCAUUAAUAAAGAUUAAUUAAAGCUGACUCUUUCUCCUAGAGCAUGAAGUGUACAGUUUUUGGGUGAACACAAACAUGGUUUCUCCCAUUGGUAGAAGACUACAAACAGCAUUUUAGCUUUGUGUGAUAUGGUUUUUUCAGUGAUUUUUUUUGCUUAUUCAUCCUUUUCGAUUCAUUAUUACAUUAUUACAUUUGUUUGAGUAAAGAUUGUUUGUAAAGUUGAAACUCAAUAUCCCUAUAAUUUGAUGUAAAGUUUUGCUAG
rnacentral:misc_RNA from 1 species